CUUCACUGGCUGGGCUUCGUUUGUUGGUCCUCCUCAGAGCCAGUGUUUACUGAUCCUAGUAAAACUUCAUCGGCCACACCAAAACCCAUCUCUGUCUGGCCCAGAGCAACUGACCUGCUGCUCACAGAAAAUGACACUCAGUUGCCACAAGCUGCAUAUACAUACCCUGAACUUGUUUGGGCCUCAUCCUCUCCAAUCAGUCUGGGCCGCUGCAGCUGCUGGACCCUCAUGAUUCCAAGAAUCUGCUCCGCUUCACACUCAGGAAGGUUUCCCCGGAUCACAAAUAUGGAAUACCCUACACAAAUACAACUCCUGUCAUAUUUUCUGCAAUGCAACAUCUAAAAAAAAAAAAGCGAAUGAUGAUCAGUUUUUAAUACCUUCUUGUUGUAACUGUGCAAGGAAAAGGGCUAGAUAGGUGUCUGAUAUCAGUUCGGGUCCAGUCAAAAGGGAAUUCAAGUUAAACCACUGGAAUAAAAACAGAAUGAAAAAAACUUUAGUAAAGGAAACUGCAUUAAUAUAAUUUAGGAAAACAUGUACAUUGUACCUGUUGUCCAAGUUUGCGUAUA